rnacentral:tRNA from 1 species
GGGCUCGUGGUCUAGCUGGUUAUGACGUCGCCUUCACACGGCGGAGGUCGCCGGUUCGAAUCCGGCCGGGCCCA